rnacentral:rRNA from 1 species
UACGGGGGGGGCAAGCGUUGUUCGGAAUUACUGGGCGUAAAGGGCUUGUAGGUGGCCAACUAAGUCAGACGUGAAAUCCCUCGGCUUAACCGGGGAACUGCGUCUGAUACUGGAUGGCUUGAGUUUGGGAGAGGGAUGCGGAAUUCCAGGUGUAGCGGUGAAAUGCGUAGAGAUCGGGAAGAACAUCGGUGGCGAAAGCGCUCUACUGGACCGCAACUGACACUCAGGGACGAAAGCUAGGGGAGCGAAUGGG